CCCCAACCAAACACCCCUUAAAGGUGACAAUUGACUCCAUUUUGUUGGGUAUCUAACCUGAUCUAAUCUAAAUGAAAUAGAUUUUAUCCAAUUCGUAGAGGAUCUAGAAUAGUACACAUAAUAGUAAAAUCUAUCUCGAACAUGAUUCUACUACAUAUAAUCCUUCACAAAAUUUUCUUUCAAAUAAAAAAAUUAUAUAAAAAAAUUAAUUUGAUGC
rnacentral:lncRNA from 1 species